rnacentral:rRNA from 1 species
GAUGAACGCUGGCGGUCUGCUUAACACAUGCAAGUCGAACGGAAUCCCUCGGGAUUUAGUGGCGGACGGGUGAGUAACACGUAAGAACCUGCCUCUAGGACGGGGACAGCAGUUGGAAACGACUGCUAAACCCGGAUGAGCCGAAAGGUAAAAGAUUUAUCGCCUGGAGAGGGGCUUGCGUCUGAUUAGCUAGUUGGUAAGGUAAAGGCUUACCAAGGCGACGAUCAGUAGCUGGUCUGAGAGGAUGAUCAGCCACACUGGGACUGAGACACGGCCCAGACUCCUACGGGAGGCAGCAGUGGGGAAUUUUUCGCAAUGGGCGAAAGCCUGACGGAGCAAGACCGCGUGGGGGAGGAAGGUUCUUGGAUUGUCAACCCCUUUUCUCAGGGAAGAACACAAUGACGGUACCUGAGGAAAAAGCAUCGGCUAACUCCGUGCCAGCAGCCGCAGUAAAAC